rnacentral:sRNA from 1 species
UUUUAGCACUGUAGAGACGCAAUACUUUGCGUCUAUUUUAUGCAUCGCAGGAAAAUUGCAGGGGGGAGACGCAAAGUAUUGCGUCUCUACGGGAAUGCUG